rnacentral:rRNA from 1 species
GACGGGAGCUUGCUCCUUGAUUCAGCGGCGGACGGGUGAGUAAUGCCUAGGAAUCUGCCUGGUAGUGGGGGACAACGUUUCGAAAGGAACGCUAAUACCGCAUACGUCCUACGGGAGAAAGCAGGGGACCUUCGGGCCUUGCGCUAUCAGAUGAGCCUAGGUCGGAUUAGCUAGUUGGUGGGGUAAUGGCUCACCAAGGCGACGAUCCGUAACUGGUCUGAGAGGAUGAUCAGUCACACUGGAACUGAGACACGGUCCAGACUCCUACGGGAGGCAGCAGUGGGGAAUAUUGGACAAUGGGCGAAAGCCUGAUCCAGCCAUGCCGCGUGUGUGAAGAAGGUCUUCGGAUUGUAAAGCACUUUAAGUUGGGAGGAAGGGCAGUAAGUUAAUACCUUGCUGUUUUGACGUUACCGACAGAAUAAGCACCGGCUAACUCUGUGCCAGCAGCCGCGGUAAUACAGAGGGUGCAAGCGUUAAUCGGAAUUACUGGGCGUAAAGCGCGCGUAGGUGGUUUGUUAAGUUGGAUGUGAAAGCCCCGGGCUCAACCUGGGAACUGCAUCCAAAACUGGCAAGCUAGAGUACGGUAGAGGGUGGUGGAAUUUCCUGUGUAGCGGUGAAAUGCGUAGAUAUAGGAAGGAACACCAGUGGCGAAGGCGACCACCUGGACUGAUACUGACACUGAGGUGCGAAAGCGUGGGGGAGCAAACAGGAUUAGAUACCCUGGUAGUCCACGCCGUAACGAUGUCAACUAGCCGUUGGAAAUCCUUGAGAUUUUAGUGGCGCA